rnacentral:rRNA from 1 species
CGUAAGCUUGACGAACGAUUCUUCGGAUGAAUUCUGAUAUGACUGAGUGGCGAACGGGUGAGUAACGCGUGAGUAACCCUGCCCUAGAUGGGGGACAACAGUUGGAAACGACUGCUAAUACCGCAUAAGCCCACGGUACCGCAUGGCACUGAGGGAAAAGGAUUUAUUCGCUUUAGGAUGGACUCGCGUCCAAUUAGCUAGUUGGUGAGGUAAACGGCCCCACCCAAAGGCGACGAUUGGUAGCCGGACUGAGAGGUUGAACGGCCACAUUGGGACUGAGACACGGCCCAGACUCCUACGGGAGGCAGCAGUGGGGGAUAUUGCACAACGGGGGAAACCCUGAUGCAGCGACGCCGCGUGGAGGAAGAAGGUUUUCGGAUUGUAAACUCCUGUCGUUAGGGACGAUAAUGACGGUACCUAACAAGAAAGCACCGGCUAACUACGUG